AGAACGAACGCUGGCGGCAUGCCUAAUACAUGCAAGUCGAACGAACACUUCGGUGUUAGUGGCGCACGGGUGCGUAACGCGUGGGAAUCUGCCCUUGGGUUCGGAAUAACAGUUGGAAACGACUGCUAAUACCGGAUGAUAUCGAAAGAUCAAAGAUUUAUCGCCCAGGGAUGAGCCCGCGUAGGAUUAGCUAGUUGGUGAGGUAAAGGCUCACCAAGGCGACGAUCCUUAGCUGGUCUGAGAGGAUGAUCAGCCACACUGGGACUGAGACACGGCCCAGACUCCUACGGGAGCAGCAGUAGGGAAUAUUGGACAAGUGGGCGCAAGCCUGAUCCAGCAAUCGCCGCGUGAGUGAUGAA
rnacentral:rRNA from 1 species